rnacentral:rRNA from 1 species
CCUACGGGCGGCAGCAGUAGGGAAUUUUCCACAAUGGGCGAAAGCCUGAUGGAGCAACGCCGCGUGGGUGAAGACGGUCUUCUGAUCGUAAAACCCUGUUGUUAGAGAAGAAAGUUCGUGCGAGUAACUGUUCACGUUUCGACGGUAUCUAUCCAGAAAGCCACGGCUAACUACGUGCCAGCAGCCGCGGUAAUACGUAGGUGGCAAGCGUUAUCCGGUUUUAUUGGGCGUAAAGGGAACGCAGGUGGUCUUUUAAGUCAGAUGUGAAAGCCUUCGGCUUAACCGGAGUAGUGCAUUGGAAACUGGGAGACUUGAGUGCAGAAGAGGUGAGUGGAACUCCAUGUGUAGCGGUGAAAUGCGUAGAUAUAUGGAAGAACACCAGUGGCGAAAGCGGCUCUCUGGACUGUAACUGACGCUGAGGUUCGAAAGCGUGGGUAGCAAACAGGAUUAGAUACCCGUGUAGUC